UACGGAGGGGGCCAGCGUUGUUCGGAAUCAUUGGGCGUAAAGGGCGCGUAGGCGGCUUUGUAAGUCCGUUGUGAAAUCCCUCGGCUCAACCGAGGAACUGCGACGGAUACUGCUUGGCUUGAGUCCCGGAGAGGGUAGCGGAAUUCCCAGUGUAGCGGUGAAAUGCGUAGAUAUUGGGAGGAACAUCGGUGGCGAAGGCGGCCUUCUGGGCUUGUCCUGACGCUGAGGCGCGAAAGCGUGGGGAGCGAACCGG
rnacentral:rRNA from 1 species